CGUCAAAUCAUCAUGCCCUAUAUGUCCUGGGCUACACACGUACUACAAUGGCUAAAACAAAGGGAAGCGAAAUAGUGAUAUGGAGCAAAACCCAAAAAAGUAGUCUCAGUUCGGAUUGAAGGCUGAAAUUCGCCUUCAUGAAGCCGGAAUUGCUAGUAAUGGCAGGUCAGCAUACUGCCGUGAAUACGUUCCCGGGCCUU
rnacentral:rRNA from 1 species